CAAAGUUACUAACACAGACCGGUUCAAGCGGCUUAGGAGAAGAGCUUAAUGAGGUCACAACAACCGCAACCCCCCCACACUGGUCCUGAGGCUGAGUUCGAUAUUGCUGCACCUUUAUACCAGACAACACUACAUCUGCAACUGAGAUGGAAGGUCUCGUGAAUCCACCCCCAUCUCCGGGCACUGUCCACACCGGUCCUGAGACUGAGCUGAAUGAACCAGCACAUUUGUUCCCAGACUACUCUGCACCUGUGGCUGAGAUAGAAGGACAAGAGACUCAGCCCCUACCACCAGCCCCAGACAAUGCAUGCAGAGAGGAAGAUAUGGAGACUGAAACAUCAGGGGAUGCUGGUGCUCCAAUG